rnacentral:misc_RNA from 1 species
AUGGGAAUUGGCCCAGCCGUUGCAAUCCCAGCUGCUGUUAAGUCUGCUGGUCUUGAGCUGAACAAUAUUGAUCUUUUUGAAAUAAAUGAGGCAUUUGCAUCCCAAUAUGUCUAUUGCCAAAAGAAACUCAAUCUUGACCCUGAAAAUGUUAAUGUGAAUGGAGGGGCAUUGGCUCUUGGUCAUCCUCUUGGUGCUACAGGUGCACGUUGUGUGGCAACUCUGCUUCAUGAGAUGAAACGCCGUGGCAAAGAUUGUCGUUUUGGAGUGAUAUCAAUGUGCAUAGGCACUGGGAUGGGAGCUGCAGCUGUGUUUGAGAGGGGUGAUUGUGUUGAUGAGCUUUGCAAUGCUAAGAAAGUUGAAGGAGGAGUCAAUCUUCUCUCUAAGGAUGCUCGUUAGGACAAAACUUCAUACCUCUUUCAACAAGGAAUAGAAUCACUCAAUAAAAGGCUACACACUUCUAUGGAGAUUUUGAUUAUUUAUUUGGUUGUAAUGCGAGCACUUCCCACCCUGUUUUUUCCAUUUUGGAUACACGAGUUUUAUUUUAGUGUCUUUUGAUUUGUUUCCAAAAAGGGGUUGCAAGUUCAUCCUUUGUUAUGGAGUGUUGUCCAAACAAUUUGAUGAUCGUAUAACGAAGUCACGUUUGGUUUGAAUUCAA